GACGAACGCUGGCGGCGUGCUUAACACAUGCAAGUCGAACGGAGAGGCCCGGCGUUUGUGGGGUUCUCGAGUGGCGAACGGGGGAGUAACACGUGAGUAACCUGCCCUUGACUUUGGGAUAACUUCAGGAAACUGGGGCUAAUACCGGAUAGGAGCUCCUGCUGCGUGGGGGGGGUUGGAAAGUUUCGGCGGUUGGGGAUGGACUGGCGGCUUAUCAGCUUGUUGGUGGGGUAGUGGCUUUCCAAGGCUUUGACGGGUAGCCGGCCUGGGAGGGGGACCGGCCACCUUGGGACUACGGUACGGCCCAGACUCCUACGGGCGGCAGCAGUGGGGAAUAUUGCACAAUGGGCCGACGCCUGAUGCAGCAACGCCGCGUGCGGGAUGACGGCCUUCGGGUUGUAAACCGCUUUCGCCUGUGCCGAAGCGUGAGUGACGGUAAUGGGUAAAGAAGCACCGGCUAACUACGUG
rnacentral:rRNA from 1 species